UGUUGGAUCCCUUCAACCCACAAUUCCUUGUCCCCUUUGUUCCGGCACUCGAAUUCGAUUACUCUGUCGGAAGUUUGUACAGCAAAGUACGCCAUCUUCUCUUUACCGUCUGUCUCACGCGCCGGCCAAUCUGGUAUAUCAUUAUACACACCACUCACCACACCUGCACACACACACCAGUUUCAUUUCCAAGAAUUACAUAAUCAUAAAAAAAAAUUCAUGUUUAUUAAAACGUCGUCGUAUAGUUAGUUUCUGCUUACACUUCUUUUUCUUAGUGAAUGUUCCUCCAAUAUGCUUGCUUUUCAUCUUAGCCACCACCUGUUUCAUUUCACAUUUUUAGGCUUCGUUUGGUUAAAAUAAGAUUAAAUAAUUCAAUGAAACACAAUUAUAUUAUUGGAUAUUCGAUGACCUAAUAAAAAAACAUGCCUACAAAGUAAGAUAAGGUAUUCUAACAUAAUAUUUACGGGUCGACCCGACAAUUUAAUGAGAUACCAAACAUCAAAUAAAGUUUAGUUAAUCAUGGCUAAUCUGCUGAACCAAACGAGGCCUUAGUGAAAUUGAGCUAAAUUCGAUAUUACUGAGGUUGUCUUUUUUUCUUAAUUACCUGCCAGUUUGAAUUUAUGUUGAAUGAGACUUGCUUCCAAUGUAGAUCUCCUGUAAUAAUAACCCACAAAUUUAUGUAACUUAUCUUCUUUGAAGGGGUUUAAAUGUAGCUUAACCUCAAGAAAAUUUAGUAAUUUACCUUUCCUUGUGCGUUUGAGAAGUUCACCGCCUUUCGAAACGAAAUUCAGAGUUAGUGAGAUGUUCGAUUCUUUGCUAUUCCGAAGAUUAUCCUCCGUAAGAGCAAUAGUUGCACCUCCAUGUUCUUUAUAUAGCCUUGCUCUUAGUGUCGCGGCCCCUCUUAAAGCUGCACCGUUCGAUAUCAGUAUCGCAAAAUGAAGAACACAGAGUAAUGUUAUCACGGAUGGAUUUCUAAAGUUUCGAUUUUUAUCUAUGUUGUUUGCAAAUUCAAGACUUGUGUAAAACUUAAAAAGUUUCGAUUUUUUUAUCUAUGAUGUUUGCAAUUCAAGAGUUGUGUAAAAAAGUUUCGAUUUUUAUCUAUGAUGUUUGCAAUUCAAGACUUGUGUAAGAAAGUUUCGAUUUUUAUCUACGUUGUUUUCAAUUCAAGACUCGUGUAUAACUAACUACCAACUGAUGAUACCUGUAGCAGCUCCGGCAGUGAGUGCCAUAACAUCCCCGUUGGUUCUUGCAUUAAUAGCCGAACUCACAACCGCCAAUAUAUGAUCGUGAUCCGCUCCCAUAUCCUCCGCAAUUUCCAGGCAGUGUGAUGCAACUAGAGCCGCUGCAGAAGCAAUCGCAGAGGAUGUUUU
rnacentral:lncRNA from 1 species